rnacentral:piRNA from 1 species
UCACCAUCAAGCUCAGCAUUCCGGUUUGCCU